rnacentral:rRNA from 1 species
GAUGAACGCUGGCGGCGUGCCUAAUACAUGCAAGUCGAGCGAACGGACGAUAAGCUUGCUUCUCUGAUGUUAGCGGCGGACGGGUGAGUAACACGUGGAUAACCUACCUAUAAGACUGGGAUAACUUCGGGAAACCGGAGCUAAUACCGGAUAAUAUUUUGAACCGCAUGGUUCAAAAGUGAAAGACGGUCUUGCUGUCACUUAUAGCUGGUUCCGCGCUGCAUUAGCUAGUUGGUAAGGUAACGGCUUACCAAGGCGACGAUGCAUAGCCGACCUGAGAGGGUGAUUGGCCACACUGGAACUGGGCAACGGUCCAGACUCCUACGGGAGGGAGCAGUAGGGAAUCUUCCGCAAUGGGGGAAAGCCUGACGGAGCAACGCCGCGUGAGUGAUGAAGGUCUUCGGAUCGUAAAACUCUGUUAUUAGGGAAGAACAUAUGUGUAAGUAACUGUGCACAUCUUGACGGUAACUAAUCAGAAAGCAACGGCUAACUACGUG